rnacentral:lncRNA from 1 species
UAUGGAUAUCCACUCGAGAUUAGCCUGGAACAACCCUCUAGAAUUUGAAUUUUCUUCUUUAAGAAAAUUCAACCUGUUAAAUCUGAACGAAGUCUGGAUCACGAUCAACACUUGAUCUCUUUCCUUGAUCUUCUUCUUCUUCUCUUCUCUAAUCUCUCUUUGCUUUGUGCUGCCACCACGCACCAGGAAAUAGCAGCAAGAGGAUGCCCAAUCAGUCCUUGGCGUGA